CACGCGGAGGGCUGGAUUUCCAGGCUAAACCGCAACUUGCGCUGCGCGUUAUUAUUAUUCAUCUGAGGGUGCUGCCGCUGCAACCUUUGCCUCCUGCUCUGCUCUCCGCUCCUUCCCCCCGGCCGCCGCCGCCGCCAGCAGUGCAGUCCCUCCUGCACGCAUGCUCUGGCUCAUCGAAGGGAGAUUCUGAAUUUUUUUUAUCAUGCUCAUGAUCAUCACCAUGACGCUUCUUAUCAUGGUUAUCAUUUCCUCCUGCCAAGGGGAGCGACCACCAGCGCCUUCUCUCCGCCCGCCCCUUCCCCAGCGAAGGCAGCCACUCGGGCUGGGCCCCGGCGGCCGCUCCCUAGAUGCGGACUUCCUUUGCCUCUCCGUAUCCCUCCCUCAUUCUUCUGCCUGUACAUUAUCUUGAUCCCUUUUAUUCCAGUAGAUCUACUGCCUUUCUUUGGAACGCUGCGGACUGCGACCAGUCUCUUAAAAAGAAGAACAGAGAGAAGAAGACCCUGAAUAGACCACCCCCCGGACAAAGCACUUUGGGUUUCGCCAGAAGGGAUGCGCGGGAGCGUUGGCUCGGGAAUACGAGUGAUCUCCCGUGCGGUAGGGGGCCCGCCCGGCGUGCGGACCUCUGAGGCGAGAGGACUGCAGCAGCCGAGUUCCGGAAGGCUGAUUCCCCAGAUCCUGGCCCCGGACCCCGGCAGCUAGCCCCUGCGGCACGCCCGGCCCGGCUGCUCCUGGACUCAGCGAGCGAGGAAAAAGCCUGGAUCCGAAAGGAUGGGGGAGAACAAAGAGCCUUUGGAAGACGUCGCUGUCAUCUCAUUGUCUGUGUGAUCGGGAGAGCUGCGGAGAAAGGCCUCUCUCUCCGUGUUCACAGCGGACCUUGAUUUAAAUGUCCAUACAAUUAAGGCACGCGGUGAAUGCCAAGAAUGGGGCUGGCUGUGCACCGUCGGUCCGGGAGAGCCCUCCGAGGAAGGAGCCACAGAGCCGAGUUGCCCUCCGCAGAGCUCAGCGCUGCGGCUUCAGGCGGGAGGGGUCGCGGGCUCUCGCCGGCUGGGCUGCCCCAACCGGAGCCUUUGGGCUGGGGAGGCGUGUGGCUUGUGACAGACAGGGGCUUAGAGAUGCAAACAGACUCAGAGAGAAACAGAAGCUGAUUCUGUAACAGAAACACAGAUCUGUGCAAGCCCAGAUUGGGGGUGGGGGGAGUGUGGAGCGGGGAGGCAGUUGCUGUGAGCGCAUUGCGGAGUGCUUCCGUGUGCAGAUCUUUCUCUGGGCUCGGGGUGCAUUGUAUGCGGGGCGACACCUUUCUUCGUUGGCUGUGUUUUUGCUCUGUGUUUAGCUUUUGGUUUACCCUUUAAACAAAUAAUCUGGCAUCCAGAAGACCGGCAGACUGUGUCAGGGCUGGGACUGCAGAUAUAUUGGGUUCUGCUGUCGGUUGGGGGGUGGGGGGAGGGCAGCCAGUAGGAAGGGAGGAGGGAGGUGUUUGUCCCUCUUUGCUGUAGCGCUGUGGGCACCUGACAAGCCGAAGGAAGUCAUUGAGAUACAGGGGGAAGGAGCACCAAACUCCUGGACCAUUCACCACAAGCUCCAUCAGAGCUGAAAGUAUGGCCAGGGCUCUCCGGAGAAACUCACUUCCUCCUGGCGGCUGCAAUUGCAGUUUCAGGCAGAGAUCCAGGAGAUGCCGAGGAGGGGAGAGGUGCAGUAACCUACAUGGACCCAAGGGGGUGGAGGCGGUGCGUUCCUUUUUAAAAUCUGAACAGAAGGAAAAACAGAAUGUGCACAGGUGGGGGUCUGAGGAAAGACUGUUUUUGAAAGAGGCCAUUCAGGGAAUGGUAAGGGUUAACCCUCCCUCAUCCUGAAGAACCUGCUACCCAAAUCAGCUUUCCUCCCCAUCGGCAGACCUAGUGCGGCAGCUGGUCCUAGAGAUCCCCCUGCGCUCCACAGUCACAGCCCAACCCCCGACCCUGAGCUGCAGUGGAGAGACCUAAACUCAUUAAUUUCCAGGUGGAGAAAAUGGAGGAGGGGCAGGUCCCUGCAGAGAAAGGAGGCCAAGAACUGGAACUUCCCACCCAGGAAGGCUGCUGCAUCCCUUUCCCUGACCCUGGCAGAGGCCCGUCUUUGCACGACCAAGGCCAUAAGGGAUGCUUACAGUUUUAGUUUGAUUCCUGACAGAGUAAUCAAGGCCUAAAAGAGUCUCAGCUGAAGCUUACUGAGGCGCUCUUUCUUCUCCAAAGCCUCAGUAUAGCCCACUAAAUAAAUUAGUAUUCAUGGAUACCCGGCCUCAUCUCCUCCCAAAUAUUUACUGAGUACCUACUAUGUGCCGAUCAUUGUGUAAUUAUUAUAUCUUGAGUUCUUCCUUUGCCUUCCUAAGGGAGUGUCUGGAGUCAGGUGAGGUUAAGUGUGCUGUGCCCCAUUCCAGACACUCCCAGAACCUUCUCUGAGUCUGGCAGAAAUGUGCCAGGACCUACUCACCCCUGCAGAGAGAAGGAUGCAGUUCACAUCGUGCAAACUGCAGGCGCAGGGCUCUUCUUCACAUCCCAGAAGGCAAGCCUGGCUGGAGGACAGAAGAGAAAGCAGCUUCUCUCACCCCGGAGCCUUAGCCAGGGUUGUCCUAAGAGGGACCCCUUCAAAACAGUCCUCCCUCUAGAUGGUCCCUCCUUGGCCCUCCCCCCCCUUCCUCUGAGCGCUGCUCUUACAGUGCUUUGGGGCCUGACUUAAGCCUCCGAUGACCAACCCUCGACCCCACAGUUGUCCACAUUAAUGAGCCUCAUCUCCGUAAUUGCUUCCCCGUAAUUCCAUCAGACGUGACUGUGCCCUUCGCUGAUGUGCCUGCCGCCAGUACAAUCUCCAGAUGCCUCCCCAAGUAACGCCCCUUUGAGGUGGAAACCUAACACGCUUCUCCCUGAGAGUUUAAACCGCAGGCACCAUGGACGAGGCCUGCCAGGUUCCUGCUGCCGAUGAUUAGGAUGGGAGGGGCGUAUUUUCUUAUUUUAUUACUUAUAUAAACUCUUGUUCCAGAAAGCUCUAAUGUGUGUGGGAGUGUUCUGGGUUUGCCGGGGCUUUUCCAGUGUUCACCAGGUCUCGUCAUGAAAUGUGGUUUUAAGGGGGCUUUAAUGGCUGAAAAUGGCACUGAUGAAUGCACCCCUCUGACCCCUGGGUAAUUUCAAGGGCCCCUUUUGUGUUCACCAGAUAUAGGCAUAAGGUGAAGAUCAGUCCUAGCUUCCUACCUUCUGCUCUAUUAGGGGCCUAUUUCUGCCCAGCGGUAUUUAUGUGAGAAACCUGAUGAUGUCUGCUCUUUCAAGGCAUUUCUUUAACCCUCAACAUCAUCUUCACCCCUACCUCUCUAUCGGAACCCCUCUCAUUACAAGCUGUGGCUUAAAUGAAGGAAAAACGAUACGAAUUUUUAAAUGUAGGACAUGUUUGGGUGCAGUUUGCUGACCGAAUAUGCUAUGAAGACCCCCGUCGGUUCACACACACCACCAUCACUAUGGUCCUCAUGGUGAUGGGAGCUCAUAGGUUUCUCAAGGUGACAGCACCAGCUACUUUAAGAUGGAUUUAGAAAUGUAUCGAAGGAAAACUUGGUAAUAUUCUUCUUUCCCCUGCCAGAGAUGGCCCAGGCCCAGAUCUCUGUCUAAGCGGAAAAGAAACUGAUCCUUUAACAAAGGCAAAGGUAAACUCCUGUAUGGCCUCUACAUUCCUUUCCCCAGCGGGGUGGGGAGGGGGGACAGUUUUUGUGGGCGCAUGAGGAGCCUUAACCCAAGAAAUAAAGAUUGAGGGGGAGGGGUAAUUUCUCAGCGGGCAUAUGCCCAUAUACACAUAUAUACAUAGAUUUUCUUGCACGAUCGUAUCCACUGCUAAUAUUUAUAGGAAGGCAUUUAACCGCACAUACAAAACAUCCAUCCACCUAUACUAUCUCCGCAGGUAAAUAAUUUUCUCUUUCCCGCUACUGAACUUACAUAAUUCCCCCACCCCUUGUUCCAAUCUUAGAAUGGAGUCCUUUGGGGGCAGCUGCAAAGCAUUCUCCCCAGGACAGAUGGAGCCACCCUUCCUCAUCUAGCCUGUGGGUGGGUUUAGGGAGUCAACACAGGCUGAGGGGUGUGCUGGUGGUUUGUGUUUGAGGCUUGCCUGAUUAUUGUCAAUAACAAUUAUGGGAAUUAUAAUACCUAAUAAAGAUGUUUUUUCUUCCAA